CCUACGGGAGGCUGCAGUGGGGAAUAUUGGACAAUGGGGGCAACCCUGAUCCAGCCAUGCCGCGUGUGUGAAGAAGGCCCUCGGGUUGUAAAGCACUUUCAGUGAGGAAGAACGCCUGGUGGUUAAUACCCAUCAGGAAAGACAUCACUCACAGAAGAAGCACCGGCUAACUCCGUGCCAGCAGCCGCGGUAAUACGGAGGGUGCGAGCGUUAAUCGGAAUUACUGGGCGUAAAGCGCGCGUAGGUGGCUUGAUAAGCCGGUUGUGAAAGCCCCGGGCUCAACCUGGGAACGGCAUCCGGAACUGUCAAGCUAGAGUGCAGGAGAGGAAGGUAGAAUUCCCGGUGUAGCGGUGAAAUGCGUAGAGACCGGGAGGAAUACCAGUGGCGAAGGCGGCCUUCUGGACUGACACUGACACUGAGGUGCGAAAGCGUGGGUAGCAAACAGGAUUAGAUACCCCAGUAGUC
rnacentral:rRNA from 1 species